UACGGAGGGGGCGAGCGUUGUCCGAAUUUAUUGGGCGUAAAGCGCGUGUAGGCGGAUGGACAAGCCUGAGGUGAAAGGUUGGGGCUCAACCCCAUACAGUGCCUUGGGGACUGUUCGUCUGGAGGCCGGCAGAGGAGAGUGGAAUUCCUGGUGUAGCGGUGGAAUGCGUAGAGAUCAGGAAGAACACCCAUGGCGAAGGCAGCCCUCUGGGCCGGUACUGACGCUGAGACGCGAAAGCGCGGGGAGCGAACGGG
rnacentral:rRNA from 1 species